rnacentral:rRNA from 1 species
UGUCUUUUUGAGAAUAAUAUAAGGUCUAAUCUGCCCACUGAUUUAAUUGAAGGGCUGCAGUAUAUUGACUGUACAAAGGUAGCAUAAUCAUUAGUCAUUUAAUUGAUGACUUGUAUGAAGGAUUGGAUGAAAUAUAAACUGUCUCUUUAUUAAUAAUAGAAUUUAAUUUUUUAAUUAAAAAGUUAAAAUAUUUUAAAAAGACGAGAAGACCCUAUAGAGUUUUAUAAAUAAAAUAAUUAAGAUUAUUUAAUUUAAUAAAAUUAAGAUUAUAUUAUUUAUUUUGUUGGGGUGACAGAAAAAUAUAUUUAACUUUUUUUUUAUUUAAAACAUUUAUAAGUGGUUAAAUGAUCCAAUAUUAUUGAUUAUAAGAAAAAAUUACCUUAGGGAUAACAGCGUAAUUUUUUUUUUUAGUUCAAAUAAGAAAAAGAGUUUGCGACCUCGAUGUUGGAUUAAGAUAAAAUUUAAAUGCAGAAG